rnacentral:tRNA from 1 species
GCGCAAGUGGCGGAAUGGCAGACGCGCCGGGUUUAGGUCUCGGUGCCUUCGGGCGUGGGGGUUCAAGUCCCCCCUUGCGCA